UGUUGGUCAGGCUGGUCUUGAACUCCCAACCUCAGGUGAUCCACCCGCCUUGGCCUCCAAAGUGCUUGGAUUACAGGCGUGAGCCACCACGCCCGACCUAACACUAAGCUUCUGUAGGAAGUCAUGACACAUAACUCAUGGUUUCCACAAACAGGCACCUCGAUGUGGAAAACUGGGACCAGGUAGGAAAGGUUUGAAAUGGGCUCAUCAAAAGGUCUUAAAGUAGAUCCCUCUGUUUUCUUUUCCUUAGAAUUUGGUGCAUACUGUCAUCCUGCCGUUAUCCCUUUCUUAUUCAAGUGAACAGCAGGAGCCAUGCUCUGACUCCCCAAAAUUGAAAGAGCCUUCUGGUUCACCAACAGCGCCCACUGAAGCCCAAGGCACCACUUCUACCGGCCCGACAGGUACCGUAAGCCAGCUUUCCACACGGUGCACGCCAAGAAUCACGGCAGACAGAAAAGCCUGAACCUCCAACCGGCAGCCCCUUCACCAAGACAAAAGGUGAGGAAUCGCUUGCACACCCACUGUUGGAAGAUCGCCGGCCCGGGACCUCUGGCCCCACCCACCAUCACCGUAUUGGAGCCCAGACUAACUGUCAGGAGCAGGCAGGAACCCCAUCGCUAAUUACUUACCAACUCCUCCAAGCUGCACACCUCCCAGCAGGAGUUACACACUGCCGAGGACACCAAACAGGACCAGAAAGGCCGACAAGGCAAGAAGUCUGUUUCCUCUGCCCCUGUCCCUCUCCCCCUCAUCACCCCCACAAUUCAAACCCAGUAUUCUGCCACCAGAAAACCUUCACUGUUAAAACAAGGAGCCUCCUUCCAAGGGAACUGGAAAUUCUAACAUCUCUUAUCAAUGCACACCCCUGUACCUUUCUCCUUCACCCUUCUAGCCCCACCCCACACCUGUUUACACAGUAAAAAAACCCAACUGUCUUGUCUGCUGUCACUUCCUCUCAAGGAGCCCUCCACUCUCCUCCUCUCCCUACACAUCAGCUAAGAAGUCUCUCUCCUCAUAACAUAUCAAAUAUUCAAAGUCCUCUCCUCUCCCCCGAGCACGCACGCGCGCACACACACGUCUCAAGGAAAGUGUAUGCAUUCCUGUUUUUCCUGCUCCUCUGCUGCCCACGCAGCUGUGGCAGUUUCUCAGCCCUAGGACCAUCUUCCUGUUCCUUUUCACACACCAUCCAGAGCAGCCCUGCCUUUGUACUGCUGCCCACGCAGCUGUGGCAGUUUCUCAGCCCUAGGACCAUCUUCCUGUUCCUUUUCACACACCAUCCAGAGCGGCCCUGCCUUUGUACACAGAACCUUCACCCUCUUCUUGGUAACUUCUCUUCACAUAUACUGCUAAUUACAACCACGCAAAACUCCGAAAGUUCCAUAACUUUACACCCAAAACUUGGCCAAGACCCCAUAUAUGCUGCCUCCUCCAACACACACACACACACACGCACGCACCAUCCCUCCCUCCGUCUGUGGUGCUGCUCAAACAUCUCCCACCCCUCACUCUCCCCUAAGCUAACGGCCCUUUUCCGCAGCCCCUCCACAUUACCUCCUCUCCUGCCUCUCAAACAUGGAAACCCCUUCGUGAGACAGUUCUCAAGGGGGUCUCUCUCUCUCCUUCUCGCACUGGGUUGCUAAAGCUGGACCAAUUCCCUCCAAAUAAGGAAUCUACACACACCAACACCUAUUCUCAAUCACUUGUCCGUUUACAUUAACACCACAGGCGUCUCCUUCCUCUGAGAUCCAUAACCCAUUUCUGUCUCCCUACCAACUAGACAGGUGCUUGCACCCUAAUCUACCUCCCACAUUCACCUUGUCCUCCAAACCGGAAAACUCCCUGUCCUACUAUACUACAUGCCCCCCCUCGCCCCCCAAAAAUAUAUAGUUCAGCCCCUUAAAGUCACCACUAAUGUCAGUUUAGAAGCACGAAGUCUCAAAACCUUGUUACCAUAUUUCUAGUUGCUUUCCCAAAAUUUCCAGUCAGUAAAAACAAACCAUAGCAAAGUCUAUCACUAACCUUCAAAACCAACUAGACUCUUUACAAAAACCUCAGAGGCCUAGACCAGCUCACUGCUGGGGGAAAAAAAAAGUCUGUGCCUCUUUUUAAAUAAAUAAUGCUGUUUUUAACCUCAGUAAUCUAGAUUAGUAUAAAAUACUAUCAAAAGGCUCAAAGACCAAACCCAAAAAAUUUAAAAAACAUUCUACUGUGUGGCCCGGCUGGCCCAGUUGGUCUCUCAGCUCCUGGGCCCCCUGGCUGCCUCCCCUCCUCAGCCCUGCUAUAACUCUCCUCCUCCUCUUCAUCUUUGGCCCUUGCCUCUUACGCCUUUUCAACCAGUUUUUUGCAGAAUCCACAUUACAGGACAUGAUGGUGUUCCAGGACUACCAACUUGCAAGCCAGUCUCACCCCAACCAGCGUCCCUACUCAGCAUGAAGCAGCUAAAAUGGUGCCCCAUAUAGAUAUAUAUAUAUAUCUAUCUCAAGAGGCUGGAAUGCUAGGGUGACAGCAAAGCAAGCCCAUAGACCCCCCCUUGCCAUUCUCCUAAGCUGAGCUCACGCCCUGUAAACAGGGCACCUAGGUUCCAGGAUGUGGUCGUACCCGGCUCUCAAACCCAGGACGUUGACCCAAUUAAGCAGAAUGUUAGCCCCUAAGAACCAAGAUACGGUUUUUCUUAGAACAGCACCUGGCUACCUGCAAAGCCCCUAUAUAACCCCUACAGUCUGUAAGCCAGGCUGCUGCCUUCACUGCCUGUGAUGAGGCAGCCAGCCUGGCAGGUUGAAAUAAACUUGCUAAACCUGACCCCGGGUCGGCCUCCCCACCCUUUUAGUCAACCUCACAACAGCUUACAGCUAUUAACAGUACUGUCCAUGAAAAGUGCUUAACUGUGCACAAGACAACCCUAGAUAAGGACCAGUCCGGCCCCCAGGAAUUCACCCCCCGUGAGAACCUGAUGGUCGAUUUUACUGAGUUACCUGUGUAAGAGGUCUUAAAUAUUUAUUGGUCUUUGUCUGCACCUAUUCCGACUGGGUGACGGUUGUCCUCAACUGAAAAGGCCUGAGGAGUAACUGGGUGUUACUAGCACACAUUAUUCACAAGUUUGAGGUGCCUUUGACUAUCGGGUCAGAUAAUGGCCCGGUAUGUGUAGCUGAAGUUGUCGACACCUAUCCCAGUUAUUAAAAACAAGAUGGAAGCUGCAUACUGUCCCAAGAGUUCAGGAAAAGCUGAAAGGAUGAACCAAGCAAUAAAGCAAUUAUUAAAAAAACUUCUGUCAAGUAACCCACCUAAAGUGAGAUCAGGAUCUACCCAUGGUUCUCCUUCAAAUCAGAUGCACCCAGAAAAAAAACAGGACACUCACCCUACAAAGUUCUGUUUGGAAGGCCUCCCCGCUCAUUACCACAAUUAAAGGAGAACUAGGAAACAGGAGCACUAACAUGGAGAAGACAAAUGCAGGCCUUAAGCAGCAGAGUUGCAUCCAAGAAAGCUUGCCAGUACAUCCAGCCCAGUCCACCCACCCCAACCACAUUAGGACCCAUAUGAGACGGGCCCUCUGUUGCCAUCUCAUCUACCCCCACUGCAGUUAAGGUUGCUGAAGUUCCCUGGAUCCAUCACAGCUGGUUCAAGAGAGCUGCUGCCCAGGACACGUGGACCAGCCAGCCAGACCCGGGUCAACCCGCCAGACGAAGCUUAAGACGAGAGGCAAACAGAGACCAAACCCACACCAGCCUGACCUCAGACACAACUGAUAAUGAAGAAUCAUCAAGCCCUGCUCUAGUCACACAACCGGAAGCUGACUAGUCAACGCACUAGCUGAAGCUUGAGGAAUCUCCGCCAGAUAAAUAAAUGUACUGUUACUGUAGCAGUAUUAACCAUCUUGUGACUAUGUUGUGACUGCUGCAAAGCUUGCUUCCAGGAGAAAGCACUCCUGCCCAGGUCUUGGUGUAAGACGUCGCCUUUCAUUUUCAUCGUGUUAGCUUGCGGCAAUCUUAGAAAGGGAGGAAGCUUAGGACGGAUGUCCUAUAUGCACCCGUACUACACGGGUAGGAGACACACAAGUUACCACCUUUUUAUAUAACCCCCCUAGGAACCUGUAUAUGUAACCAAACUACUCAAUCUGUGAUCUUGGUGAUGAUCAGCCCUACAUUUGCUGUGACCCCAAACUUCUACCUGGGACUUGGUUCAAGCUCCGUGAUAGGUCUGGAAAAGGAUCUCUUUACAAUUCAACCAGAGUACCUUCCUCUGACAAAGGCCGCCUGUAUCUGUAAUAUCUGUAUUCAGAUGCCUGCCAGCUAACAAGAACACUCUGUAAAAAUAAUAACACAACCCUUGGCAUGCAGUCACGUCAGCAUGUGCCUCUUGCGGUUGUUACAUUCCUGAUCCCAGAAGAAAGCUGACUGUAUCCAGUCACAGCCCUUACUGGAUGAGUGAUACUCCACAUCCUCAGGACAGAAACUUCUCCAGAAGCCUCAACAGAUGGUACCAGGAAGUUCCUGUCGCCUCACUGAAUCUGUUAUUUCAAAUCAGAGUUCACCUGAUUAUCCAGUUAGGACCUCAGUGCCUCUUGCUCAAUCAGGUGAACUCUGAUUUGAAAUAACAAAUUUGAGGUCCUAACUGGAUACAGCGAUACAGCCACAGAAAUUAGGCAUUAAAUAUUCCAGGGUGCAAGCUACUGAUAGAAUCGUAUUUUUAGUAUUAUCAAAAGGACUUGAGCUCACAAACUUCAGCAACGAUUUAGGAUUUUCAAAUCUUUGAGUGAAGAUAUUAACCAGGUAAUCCCUGCCACUAAAAUCUGUUUGAACAGUUAGCUGAGAAUGCAGCAGGAAAUAGAGGAGUUUCCUCAUGUUAUAUAUGCAGAGGAACUGACAUGGAGAAUCGGUGGCCAUGCGAGGUAAAAUAAUUGCUUCCCCAUGACAACUACACAUUAAUUCUCUCCACCACAGAUGCUCCAUAAUUAAUGCCUACUGGCUCCGAUACUUGGCUCUUAACAACCCCGAUCAAAGGAAGAUACUGCGUAGCUGGCCAGGGUACCCCCUAUACACACCCUGUAGGUAAAUUAGCCUGUUAAGUAAGGGCAACAGUACUAUCAUGAAGCUAUAGGAAAAACUUUAUGGCGGAGAGAAAACAGAAAAGGUAAAAAUAGCUCAAGGCCGUCUCUUUUUUUUUUUUUUUUGAGACGGAGUUUCGCUCGUUACCCAGGCUGGAGUGCAAUGGCACAAUCUCGGCUCACCGCAACCUCCGCCUCCUGGGUUCAGGCAAUUCUCCUGUCUCAGCCUCCUGAGUAGCUGGGAUUACAGGCACUCGCCACCGUGCCCAGCUAAUUGUUGUAUUUUUAGUAGAGACGGGGUUUCACCAUGUUGACCAGGAUGGUCUUGAUCUCUUGAUCUCGUGAUCCACCGCGGCCGGCCAUCUCGUUUUUAACCCAUUUUCUAGGUUCCCUUCUUUAAACCACUCUUAGCAUCAAUAGAUGCACCAGACACACGGCAAGCGCCUGCAGGACUCUACCGGAUCUGUGGUCAGCCAGCCUACAGGCAGUUGCCAGAAAAAUGGAUAAGAGCGUGUGUAUUAGGUAUCAUUAAACCCUCAUUCUUCCUGUUACCCUUAAAACAGGGAGAAACAUUAGGAUAUCCAUCCUAUUUACGAUAAGUCUAAAGAUAGGAACAAAUGGCCGGGCGCGGUGCCUCACACCUGUAAUCCCAGCACUUCGGGAGGCCAAGGCGGGUGGAUUGCUUGAGGUCAGGAGUUCGAGACCAGCCUGGCCAACAUGGUGAAACCCUGUCUCUAAAAAAAAACACAAAAGAUAGGAACAAAUGAGCAAACUUCAAAAAAAAAGAAAGAUACACGGCAGAUUGGAAAGAUACAGAUUGGUCUCCAGAGAGAAUAAUUAUUAUGGCAGCCACCUGGGCACAAGAUGAAUCAUGGUUAUAUCGUAUUCCCAUCUACAUGAUUAAUCAUUUCAUUGGAGUACAAGCAGUAUUAGAAAUUAUAACUAAUGAAACGUUUAAAGCUUUAGAUUUGUUAGCUGUACAAUCUACACAGAUGAGAAAUGAAACUUAUCAAAACAGACUGGCAUUAGAUUAUCUGCGGGAUUCAGAGGGAAGAGUGUGGAAAAUUUAACUGACUGUUGUUUAGCAAUUGAUGACAACAGACAGGCAGUUAUGGAAAUCACUGCCAACAUGAGAAUGUUAGCCCCUGUUCUAGUCCAAACCUGGAAAGGCUGGACCCCAGGCUCUCUUUUUAGUGGAUGGCUUUCGUCUUUUGGCAGAUUCACGACUCUCAUGCGGAGUGUAGUCCUUGUAUUAGGCGUCUGUCUAUUACCGCCUUGCUUAUUGCCGCUCCUGUAUAGCAGCAUACAGUCCACUGUAGAGGCGGUGUUGCCAAGACACACCCUCCCAAGUAAUGGCACUAAGUAUCAGCCAUUACCCACACAAGAAAGCUCAUCUCAUGAAAAGGUAGAAAAUUAUGAAACUAACAUAGGUCUUCUAUAAGGUAUUUUUCUUUCCCAGGCCUCCCCUCUUUACCCUCUACGUGGCUUGUAAAAUGCAGAUGUAUGAGUGUAGAGAAGAGAGGCCCAGGCCUUAAACAUCACUUGUGAACAUGAGAGAUUCUAAGUCUGACUUCUGACUCGUGCUUCUCUAAAGGCCAAAGAUUGUGCCCCCCAGGUGGAUGGCUGGUUAGUCAAUGAUGGGGAAGAGUCCCUGAAAGAUGGGAAUGGGAGGCCAACAAAGGCUGAGAAACGUGAAGUCAAAGAGCCGGUCUGCUGCCACAAAGACAAGUGACGCUGAGAGCAGAUGCGCUGGCAAAGCGACUCCGAGGCAAACAACUGGACUGCCUUGUGACAGGCCUCAGGCUCGAUCCUGCUAUCCUAGCAGCAUGUCUACCGUAAACAAGGUGAAAGCCUUCUAAUAAUAGUUAUUUUUAAAAGAAAGCUUUUAAAGGGGGGAAUGUGGAAGCUCAACUGUCUCCAGGCUCCUGCUUACCUCUGUAAUUCCUGUCUAGCAGAAAGGUUGUCAGUCAAGUAACAAAAUUGUAAGUUCUCUCUGAAUUGUCACGAAUUAAGUAAUUCAUGGUCUUUGAAACUGUGGAAAAAUCGGGCAUUUUAAGAAGGAGUGUCCUCAGACUAAUGGCAAAAGGGAUCUUAUAACGCGGUGUCCCUGCCAACAGAAAAAAUGCCAAGAAUUUGCGCUCGGUGUAGGGAAGGAAACCAGUGGGCUAAUCAGAACGGCACUCCCACGUCAGGAAACACGAGUGGGCGGUAGGGGGUGGACCCAGCUCCCUCAAACACUGAGGGCACUUCCCGUCCAGACCACAACCCCACUGCAGGGGUGGGUCCUCAGAGGAACAUAUUCCCUCUCCCCAGGAACAUCCGGAAGUGCAGGAUUACAUCUCCCAGUUAGCUGGUGUAGACAGACCCACCAGAAUUCCCACCCGCUUUUGGGGACCUUUGCCAAGAGGACAUAUGGGACUGAUCCUGGGUAAAAGCCGUCCUAACUUACAAGGCGUCACCACUGUCCCUGGAGUUGCUGGCUGGCUGCCAAGGAGAAAUGCAAGUAAUUGUCACAGGGUCACUGGGUUUUUGAACCAGAAGAAUACAUUGCUCAGCUAUUGCUUAUUCUCCAAAAAAGGGGAGACGGGAGGAAAUCAAGGAUUUGGGAAAUUUACCUCUUCCCAAUCCACAGAUUCUAAUCGGCCUGUAUAAAUCAAAGGAAAGAAGUUUUGUGGGAUUAUGGACAUGGGAGCGGAUGUUAUCAGUGAUAUCUAAAAACAACUGGCCUUAGUGGGAAUAGGAACAGCUCAGCGUGUUCAGUGGAAUACUGAGAUUUUACCUGCCUCAGUCCAGAUGGGCAAUCGUGUACUUUUCAAACAUAGGCUGGAAAUAUAGCUGUGAAUCUAUGAGGCCAAGACAUACUUACACCAUGGGAUAUGAGACUUAGGAAUGAGAGAAUUGAUAGUCUAGGAUUUAAAAUGUGGAAAAAGAUGGGUUAUCAGAGCGGAAAAGGCUUAGGAAGUCCCUGCAGGGAAGCCCUGAUCGAUUAUCGAUAACUGGGCUAACAAAUAGAAAACAGCUAGGCUUUCAGAAUUUCUAAUAGGGGUCAUUGAUACUUAUCCAUCCACUGCUUUGCCAUUAAGAGGGCCUGACUGAUAAACCUGUAUGGGUGGUGGAUCAGAUCAAUGGCCCGUAUCACAGGAGAAACUGACUCUGCUUCAUCAGUUAAUAAGAGAACAAUUUUUUUGUUCUUUGAGACGGAGUUUCACUCUUGUUACCCAGGCUGGAGUACAAUGGCGCGAUCUCGGCUCAUGGCAACCUCCGUCUCCUGGGUUCAGGCAAUUCUCCUGCCUCAGCCUCCAGAGUAGCUGGGACUACAGGCACACGCCACCGUGCCCAGCUAAUUUUUUGUAUUUUUAGUAGAGACGGGGUUUCACCAUGUUGACCAGGAUGGUCUCGAUCUCUUGACCUCGUGAUCCACCCGACUCGGCCUCCCAAAGUGCUGGGAUUACAGGCCUGAGCCACCGCGUCUGGCCUAAUAAAAGAACAAUUUAAUGAAGGGCAUAUAGAAGAGUCAGCCCUUGGAAUUCAGUAUUUGUGAUUUAAAAAAAAAAAAUCAGGAAAAUGGCAACUGCUACAUGACUUGAGAGCUAUGAAUUCACAGAUUAAACCAAUGGGUGCAUUGCAACAAGGUUUACUGUCCUCAACAGCCAUUCCAAGAGAUUGGCCUCUCAUAGAUAUAGAUCUCAGAUUUUUUUAUACUAUACUAUUGCAUGCGAAGGGCAAGCCUCAAUUUGCAUUCUCUGUGCCUUCUAUUAGUCAAAGAGAGCCUGUCUCUCAGUAUCGGUGGAAAGUUUUACCCCAAAGCAUACUCAAUAGUCCUACAUUUUGCCAGCAUUUUGUAGGAAAAGCAUUAAAGGAUCCGGGAAGCAUGUUUCCCACCCCUUACAUCAUUCGUCAGAUUGAUGAUAUUCUUUUGGCCAUUCCCACAAAUCAAAUAUUACACCAGCUAUGCAGAGAAAUAAAACGAGCCCUGACUAAAUGGAAUCUCAAAAUAGCUCCGGAAAAGGUGCAAACAACCUUCCCAUAUGAGUACAUAGGAACUCAAAAAGCAGCUCCUCGUAGAGACAGAUGACCAACUUCAAUGGUUUUCAGCAAUUACUGGGGGAUGUUAACUGGCUGAGCCCAGUGCUAGGUAUUGUUUAACAACUCAAACACCUCUAUCAAACACUCCAAGGAGAUUCUUCAUUAGAUUCUCCCUGGAAACUUACUAAGGAGGCAGAAGCUGAGUUGCAGCUUGGAGAUAGAACAAAUGCUUCCGGAAUGACAUGCGUACCAACUCCACCCACAGAAGCCUCUGCCUGUGUUUAUGCUUCCCACUCUCCAUUCUCCAAGAGGACUUUUUUUUUUUUCUUGGCAGAGUUUCGCUCUUUUGCCCAGGCUGGAAUGCAAUAGCUCAAUCUUAGCCCCACUGCGAUCUCCACCUUCUGGUUUCAAGCCAUUCUCCUGCCUCAGCCUCCCAAGUAGCUGGGAUAACAGGUGCCCACCAUCACACCUGGCUAAUUUCUGUAUAUUUAGUAGAGAUGGGGUUUCACCGUGUUGGCGAGGCUGGUCUCGAACUCCUGACCUCGUGAUCUGCCCGCCUCAGCCUCCCAAAGUGCUGGGAUUACAGGCGUGAGCCACCACGCCUGGCCUCCAACAGCACUUUCAGGACAGUUCACACACAAAAUUAUAAUGGUGAUGGAGUCACUUUUUCUAUCCGAUCAGACAGUAAAAUCCUUGCAAGUUUACCUUUCUUUAAUCACACAACUUACAACAACAGCCAAACGUAGAUCAAAAAUGCUUACAGGAUAUGACCCUGAUGAAGGUGUUCUCUGGGAUCCCCAACAGCAGGCUGUGGUCUGGGAAAUGUGGACUGCAUGGCAAAUGGCCCUCACAGAUUUUGUAGGAGUUACAGAUAACCAUUACCUUUCAGGUAAGAUUUUGCCAUUUUACAAGGUUCACCCUUCAAUCCUCCCUGUGAUUACUCAUCACAAGCGUGUUCCAGAUGGACAGACUUAUUUUACUGAUGGCUCUUCUAAAGGCCGUGCAGCUAUUUAUGGAACUAAACAUGCUCAAUCAAUCAAGAGCCCUGGAGUUUCAGCUCUACGUUCAGAAUUCUGCAGCUCACAGCUUUCUCCCCUGUUAACAUUGUCUCUGAUUCGGCCUAUGUUGUAAAUGGAGCCAGUCGCAUGGAGGCUGCCACUCUGAAAAGCGCCGUAGAACCAGAGCUGCUUAACUUACUUCUCAAGACAUCGGCAAGUUACUCAUUCUCAUGCUACUCCUUUUCCUAUUCCUCAUAUCCUGGGCCAUUACCUCUAGGCAAUGAGGAAGCAGAUAAGCUAACUGGUUCUUUAUUUCAACGGUCCAAGGUUCCCAUGCAUUAUUACAUGAAAACACCUCUGCCCUCACUGCAUGUUUUAUCUAUCUCACAACCAGGCCCAAGCCACUGUGCACGCCUUCCCCACCUGCCAACAUAUCCCUGGUGUUCCACCUGUGGAAGGAUGUAACCCGCGAGGCUUAGCUCCAAGUGCAAUUUCACAGAUGGAUGCCACACAUAUAGCACGCUUCUUCGGCAAGCUCAGCGAUGGUCACCUAACUGUAGAUAUCGGUCUCAUGUUACAUGCUGUAUGUCCAACAGGAGAAACAGCUGGUCACGUCUGAUGACACUGUCAUCGAUUGCCCAUAUGGGGGUCCCUAAACAAUUCAAAACUGACACUGGACCCGCUUAUGUCAGGUCAUGCUUUUCAAAACUUUUUACAGUUGUGGGCAAUCAAACACUAAACAGGAAUUCGAUACAAUCCUGAAGACAAGGAUUACUGAGCAGGCACAUCGAACACUAAGAUGAAUACUCAGACAACAAAAAGGGGGAACAGGAGACCAACUACCACCUCAAACAAAACUACAUUUAGCCUUGUUUACUUCACAGGUGGUAAGACUCCAGGAGAAAGACACUGGCAAGUGUUGGAGGAAAAGAGGCAAGUUUAUCCAAAAACGUUACAGAAAUCCCCGAAAAAGGACAAUGCAAAGGCCCAGCGGAUUUGCUGACAUGGGGAAGGGGCUAUGCUCGCAGUUUUUGGAGGUGGACAAACCGUGUGGGUGCCCUCCCAGUAUGUAUGACCAUGGAACAGGACACUGGAGGAUCCAUGGUGGCCAACUGUGGGCCCAGUCCCUCCAGUAUGAGCCAUGAGCCAACUGGAUCUGAAGGCGAAGAUGGAACAAGGGCCAACCAGAGUCACAAUCACAAUCAAACCCAUAACACGGGGACAGAUCAAGAAAAUAACAUAGGAGGCUAAGAAACUGCUGGAGUGCCAGGGUCAGGCAAAAACCCUGACUCCACGUUCGCCGUGGUAUCCUAUGCCGUAUGUUUCCCCUAUGUAGAGGCAAAAACAUACUGGACAUAUGUUCUGUUCCCAACCAUCCAGCAGUGCAGCUGGUACUCUGGACUGACACUCCUCCUGAAAUGUAUCAUGAUCAGGAAGCGUGGGCUCCAGGACCCGUGACUGCCCCGGACACAGAACAACUAAACUCUCAUUUAUGAAACGCAGCAUUUGGGUCAGAACACUAUUCAAUAAUAGUAAUUCUGUUCAACGUACUUUAAUAUCACCUUCGUUACAAACAUUACCACUCAGUUUAUGGUCUGUGUUUUCAAUCCUUAUGUUUUUUUUUUUUUUUGAGACGGAGUUUCACUCUUGUUACCCAGGCUGGAGUGCAAUGGCGCGAUCUCGGCUCACCACAACCUCCGCCUCCUGGGUUCAGGCAAUUCUCCUGCCUCAGCCUCCCGAGUAGCUGGGACUACAGGAGAAUGCCACCAUGCCCAGCUGAUUUUUGUAUUUUUAGUAGAGAUGGGGUUUCACCAUGUUGACCAGGAUGGUCUCUAUCUCUUGACCUCGUGAUCCACCCGCCUUAGCCUCCCAAUGUGCUGGGAUUACAGGUGUGAGCCACCGCGCCCGGCCUCAAUCCUUAUGUUUUUCUAGCAGCUAAAAAAGGUCAAUUCCAGGUAAAUAUCACCCAACUGACUUCAGUCUCUUGUCAAUUUUAUUAUUGCCUUAAUCAUAGCACUAUAUGAAGACAGAACAUAUCCACCCCAAUAAUUCAUAGUCGUAUUCCUGGAUUAUGGAUUCCUGAUAAUUUGUCUGAACCAUGGGCUGCUACGCUGGCUUUACAUUCCGUGAACAUUCUUACUGGCUAACUUGUGGUGCUCGUAGAGCCUUAGGCAUGAUAAUUUUUGCUACGGUCUCCUUGAUCACACUGGUAACUUCUGUUGUAGUGUCUUCAGUAGCACUAUUUCGAACAGCCCAAUAUGUAGAAAAUUGGACACGUAUAGUUGAUCAGACAUGGAUGCUCCAAAAUAAAACUGAAGUGGAAUUACAAACAGAAGAGGCAGUGCUAAGACUACUGUCUUGUGGCUGCAAGAACAAGCACCAAGCCUGCAAGUGCAGCAGCAAUCGCACGGCCAUUUUAACCACAUUCCCAAUGUGGAAUACAAUCAAAGUGAAUGUCCACGGAACCUCAGAAGCUUUUACAUCCAAUGUUACUUUUGAUAUCAGCGAUUUACAAAAAAGUUCUUGACUUGAAUAAACAGACUGGAGACUAUCAAACUUCUUUAAAAGCUUGGACACGCCUUAAACUUAUGAGUAAGGAAAACGAUUCGGGGUGACGCCGGAAUCCUCACUGCUAAUGUAAGACAACGGGUAAAGGACGCCCCCGAGGUGACCCGCCUACUUUGCAGGAUGCCUGGGAGCCACGAUCUGCCUGACCCCAUUAAAAAAAUUAAUUAAUUAAUUAAAAAAAAACAAAAACAAAAACUCUUGGACAGAAUUCCAGCAGGGCUUGGAGAGCCUUAAUCCUUGGACCUAUCUUAAACGUAAUCUCAAUGUCCCUCUUAUCAUCAUAGGAAUAAUGCUAUUAUGUCUCCGUUUUCUGUCUGUAGUCUGUAUGAUGCUGUGGACCAACACCUGGCAAUUGAAAGCUGUCCAGCCGGGAACUGCCUUCAUUUAAUUAAUGUAAAAACUAAAAGGGGGUGUAAGGCCGAUAGCCUUGCUAAGAGCCGAUGAACAACACCCACCCCCUCUAUGCUGAUAACAGUUUAUCAGGCAGAACACAUUACUCAGCAUCUGGCUCCUCCAUGCGGGCUCCCCUCGCCCACUUCUGCAUUCUGCCCCCAGGUCUAUAUUCAGCACUAAACUAUGCACUCUCAGCACCAAGCUAUGUAUUUGAACCUCAGCACUAAAGUACACAUCUGAACCCACGAAAAUUGAAAAAUCCCGCCGAGCCUUACCCAAUGGCAACCCACCCCAUGCAUCCUAGGCCAGCCCCCCUCUAACCCCCAUAAAACCCCCUGCCCUGAGAAGUCAAGCACAACUUAUCUGGCCCCCUUUCCCCAGGACCACAGAACCUCGACCACAGAACCUCACCCGGGAGAUAAAUAAAUUGGCAUCUGAUUGUUCUUAUACUGGCCUCAGUUUCCUCAUUUUAAACUCAGCAAUAACCAUUAGGGGGAGAUGCUGGUGACCCCAAGAAUGUGGGGUGUGACCAACUCAAAAUACCUAAGGAGGCUUUAUGAGUAUUGAGCAAACUGUCCUCAUGAAAGCAGAAUGUCAGCAAAUUGACAAACUGUAUCUGCUGCCAGGAGUGUUGAGGGCAGGUCCAGUGCUCCUGGAGGUCAUCUACCUGAAUAUCUGGAAGCUACUGAACAAGGGAAGCAGUCCCUGUGAUAAAUCAAGUAGCUGACCAACAUCACCCCUCCUCCCUAUUCACUUUGCUUACUAAAUAAGAAAGGCUGUAAGAGCUCAGGGCCUUUGUUUACUAGAAGCAAAGAGCCCCCUGAUCCCUUCUCUCAAACAGAACCUUUUAUCUUUGCCUUCAAUUCUGCAUUCCACCUCCUUCCUACAGCACAAAUGCAGACUUGUUCUGAGCCAGUACUGACUGUUCAUCUGUCCUGUUUUUGCCUUAGUACUUCUUUUUUCUUUGAGACGGUGUCUCACUCUGUCGCCUAGGCUGGAGUGCAGUGGUGUGAUCUCAGCUCACUGCAACCUCUGCCUCCCGGGUUCAAGUGAUUCUCCUGCCUCAGCCUCCCUAGUAACUGGGACUACAGGCAUGCGCCACCGGGCCCAGCUAAUUUUUUGUAUUUUUAGUAGAGACAGGGUUUCACCAUGCUAGCCAGGAUGGCCUCAAUCUCGUGACCUCUUGAUCCACCCACCUCGGCCUCCCAAAGUGCUGGGAUUACAGGCGUGAGCCACCGCGCCCGGCCUUGCCUUAGUAUUUACAGUAUCGGGUUGCAUGUCAUUGUUCAUCUUGGUGGUGAUAUGAAGAUCCCUUGGUUGUCCCAAAGAUGCUGAGGAAGGAAUCCCAGUCGUCUAGGAUCACCUCCCCGCUUGACCUCCGCACUGCAUUUCAAUAGAAGAAAAGAUUGGUCGACUGGCGCCUCCUAAAUCACCUUCCUACAAGAUGGCAGGCUUGGUAUGGGGGAAUCUCUCCGGAAGACACUGUUCUGAAACAAGAUCAAACCCCCACCCUACUCCUCCAUCCAGAGACCAGAACGCUUUCACAUGUAAUCCCUAAAACUGUAAACCCAAGACCCUUUCACCUGUAAUUUCUAAGGCUGGAAACCUAAGAUUCCGUCUCUGGGAAUAUCUAGAGUGUAAGCCUAUAUAAAGGCAGAGCUUCUCUGUGUUAGGGGAGCUGGGCCAUUUAUACAAUACAGAAAGCCUCACUCCCGGGCUGUAAUAAUAAACACCCCUUUCUUGCUGGUUCGGUGUUCAAGAGGUCUGUUUUUUGCGGCCGCUCCUGCUUCAAUGCAACGUGGACUUGGGGCAGUCUGGUCCUUAGGAAUAGUAUGAGUGAGGACAGGACUAUUAUUUUGGUGCCAACAGAAGCAGCACAUUAUUUCUGUCUUCCCAAUUCUUAAGCGUUUGCCAGUUCAUCAGUCCUAUACCUUGUCACUUGUGCUGUUAAAUCCAGCCCUGAACUAAUAACUCUGGACUCCACAUCUCACCACCUAUUUUUCUCCCUGCUCUGUCUGCAGUGGUCUUCAAUACUGGCUCAUAUAUUUUGAAUUAUGAAGUGUCUACCCAUUUUUUUUUUUUUAAUGGAGUCUCGCUCUGCAACCCAGGCUGGAGUACAGUGGCAUGAUCUUGGCUCACUGCAACCUCUGCUUCCAGACUUGAAGCAAUUCUUCUGCCUCAGCCUCCUAUCUGGGACUGCAGGUGCCCACCACCACAUGCCCGGCUAAAUUUUUUGUAUUUUUAGUAGAAAAGAGGUUUCACCAUGUUGACCAGGUUGGUCUCGAACUCCUAACCCUGUGAUCUGCCCACCUCGGCCUCACAAAUUCUGGGAUUACAGGCGUGAGCCAGCACACCCAGCCAUAUCUACCCAUUCUUAACAGUCCCUAAUUGAAGAGGGAAAUUAAAUAAUAAAUAACAACAGUUGUUAUUAUUUAAUUUUUGCAUAAUAAAGUUUACUGUGUUGUGUUCAGUAUAAAACCUAACCCCCAGCUCUGCCUGAAAUUAACUAACUCCCUGUAAAACUCACCUUAUCUAUUCUCCCCACUUACUCAGCAAAGUUCCAAGACACCUCAAGACUCCUGUUUUACUUGCAGACCAGUUAAAAGGCCACAGGGUAAGAUAACACCCAACGAAUAUGCAACGUGUUUCUAAAAAUGCUAUUUUCAAAUGUAACGUACAUCACAAGACAUGUCACAAAUUAAUAACUGUUCUUCGUUCUGGCUUCUGUAACCCUGUUAGCUGCUACGUCAUCCUGGAUGUAUAAAGUCAAGCCCUGUCUUUGCUAGGCACUCAGCCUUGGGAUGCUGAUCUGCUAAGCCGGUGGCCACCUUAAUAAAAUCCUCCUUGUUUCACCCA